rnacentral:rRNA from 1 species
UACGGAGGGUGCAAGCGUUGUCCGGAUUUAUUGGGUUUAAAGGGUGCGUAGGCGGCUCAUUAAGUCAGUGGUGAAAGCCAACAGCUCAACUGUUGGAGUGCCAUUGAUACUGGUGAGCUUGAGUACAGUUGAGGUAGACAGAAUUGAUGGUGUAGCGGUGAAAUGCAUAGAUAUCAUCAAGAACACCGAUUGCGAAGGCAGUUUACUAAGCUUUAACUGACGCUGAGGCACGAAAGCGUGGGGAGCAAAC